rnacentral:rRNA from 1 species
GUUUUUAAAGAUUGCUCAAAGCUGUUAAAUAUAAAUAAUAUAAAAAAGGUAAUUAAGAAAAAAUUUAGUAAAGUUUAAUGAAAUUUUUUUUUGGCUAUAGAUAAAAAGUACUGUGAAGGAAAUUUAUUUUCAAAUAAUUUUUAUAGUAAUUAUAAAUAAUUGUACCUUGUGUAUCAUGGAAAAUUUAAAUGAAUUAAAAAAAUUAAAAGUCUCGAAGUAAAUAACAGUUAAUUUUAUAAAAAGGUUUAUGUUGCAAAAUAAAACUUUAAUAUAAAGUUAAAGGUGAAAUAUUAAACGAGUUUUAUUUUAUCUGGUUUCUUAAAAAAUAAAUAUAAUUUAGAACUUAAACUUUAAAGGUUUAAGAUUUAGGAGAAGGAGGGUUAAGCUUCUUUUUCAAAAAGUUCAAAAUAAUAGUUUUAAAAAUAAAAAAAAUUAUCUAAGCUUAAAAGUAGCUACGAUAACAAAGUGUUUAAAAUGAGUUAAGAAGAGAGUUAAUAAACUUUUAGUAAUAUUAAGAUAUUUAAAAACAAUGAAAAUAAAGCAACUCUGGUUUUAUAAGUAGAAAGUAAUAUUAUAGAUAGAAUAAAUAAAAUAAAACUUGAAAUAUUAAAUGACAUGAGUGUAGUUAAAGGAAUUCGGCAAAAAAAAUUUCUUGCCUGUUUAUCAAAAACAUGUCUAUUACGGAGGUAUUAAUAGUCUGGCCUGCUCCCUGACUAUUGUUAAAGAGCCGCGGUAAUUUGACCGUGCAAAGGUAGCAUAAUCAUUAGUUUCUUAAUUGGAAACUUGUAUGAAAGGUCUGACAAAGAAAAAGCUGUCUUUAUUAUAAAUAUUGAAUUUAACUUUUAAGUGAAAAGGCUUAAAUGUUUUAGAGGGACGAUAAGACCCUAUAAAGCUUUAUAUGAAAGCUAAUCGGAAUUAAAUUUAUAAUAAAAAUUCAAAUUAAUUAUCAUAAUUUAUUGGGGUGAUAUUGAUAAAAAUAAUAUUAACUGUUAAAAAAAAAUACAUAAAUAAAAGAGUUAAGAAGUCGAUGAUCCUUAGUUUAAGAUUAAAAGAUUAAGUUACUUUAGGGAUAACAGCGUAAUUUUUCUUGAGAGUUCAUAUCGAAAGAAAAGAUUUCGACCUCGAUGUUGAAUUAAGAUAUCUAUGUAAAGCAGCUAUUACAUAAGAGGGUCUGUUCGACCCUUAAAUUCUUACAUGAUUUGAGUUCAGACCGGCGUGAGCCAGGUCGGUUUCUAUCUUCUAAAAGUGAAUGAACCGUUUUAGUACGAAAGGAUUAAAUGGUUUUUAAAAUAAAUAAAAUGAAAUA